ACUAAAAUUUUGUUUCUUUUUCUUCUUAUUAUUUUUUUGCUUUUCCCAUUUUGAUUUAUGGUGUUUUGUAGGAGGAGGUUGCCAAGGAGUAUGGCAUACUAUUCUGGAGUUAGGCAAAAGGAGUAUGGCAUUCAUGUAAUUUGAGUUGUUUUGGAGAUAGGCAAAGAGGCCAAAUCACACGUAUUGUCCUAAUCAAUCGAUGACUCCACAAGAAGAAGCACAAUCUGAUGAUGAAAAGAAGAAAUGAAGUGAAUCACAAAAGAAUGCAUUCAAGGACUUUGCGAUAAGAAGCUGCUUAGCAAUCCAAAUCAUGAGGCCUUUUGGCGAUGAUUCGCAACAAGACAAAAGUGGUAGUUGAAGUUGAUGUGACAUGAAAUGAUUACUUUUUGCAUUGACAACUGCAUAAGAUAAGGGCAACAUGUAGCAGGGAAUGAUUAUUUUGUUGCCCAAAUAUGCCUAUAAAUAUCUCCAACUUCACCAUAUAAAAACUCUCUUUCGAGCGCAAAUAGAAGGGAAGUGUUAUAACCCUUCCCUUCCGUAGAAAUUCCCCACCUUCACCUCUUCUCCUAUCAACUUCUGAUUGAGGGCUUAGAGAGAUAAGCUCACAAACCAUUCCCCUAACUUAUAAAAGAGCCAAGGAAUGCAUAAUAAUGCAUUUUGCGGCUCGACAUCCUUCUUGACUUUCCAUUUUGUAUUUUUUAACGUAUUAUUUGACUGUUAUUAUUCUCAUAACCAAGAGGCCUACAUUAAUCAAUGCAAUGUAUAUUUAUUCA